rnacentral:rRNA from 1 species
UACGAAGGGGGCUAGCGUUGCUCGGAAUCACUGGGCGUAAAGCGUGCGCAGGCGGUUAUGUCAAGACAGGUGUGAAAUCCCCGGGCUUAACCUGGGAACUGCAUUUGUGACUGCAUAGCUAGAGUACGGUAGAGGGGGAUGGAAUUCCGCGUGUAGCAGUGAAAUGCGUAGAGAUGUGGAGGAACACCGAUGGCGAAGGCAGCCCCCUGGGUCAAGAUUGACGCUCAUGCACGAAAGCGUGGGGAGCAAACAGG